rnacentral:rRNA from 1 species
GAUGAACGCUAGCUACAGGCUUAACACAUGCAAGUCGCAGGGUAACAUGAGGACAGCUUGCUUUCCUUGAUGACGACUGGCGCACGGGUGAGUAACGCGUAUCCAACCUUCCCAUAACUACGGGAUAACCCGUUGAAAGACGGCCUAAUACCGUAUGACAUCGUUUGCUGACAUCAAAUAACGAUUAAAGGUUUAGCGGUUAUGGAUGGGGAUGCGUCUGAUUAGCUUGUUGGCGGGGUAACGGCCCACCAAGGCGACGAUCAGUAGGGGUUCUGAGAGGAAGGUCCCCCACAUUGGAACUGAGACACGGUCCAAACUCCUACGGGAGGCAGCAGUGAGGAAUAUUGGUCAAUGGGCGAGAGCCUGAACCAGCCAAGUAGCGUGCAGGAUGACGGCCCUAUGGGUUGUAAACUGCUUUUAUGUGGGGAUAAAGUGCGUGACGUGUCAUGCAUUGCAGGUACCACAUGAAUAAGGACCGGCUAAUUCCGUG